rnacentral:rRNA from 1 species
CACCACCAUCAGCGUGCUGUGUAGCGUGUUCGGCCCAGUUCGGUCAUCGUGAGGCGUUACCUAACGGGGAGGCACACACUGUUGCGCGUAUCUCAUGGUUACCCAACCAUAGCAGCAGAGAUACAACACCGGCUCCUAGUAGCCCAUGGGCCUCAAAUAAUGUGUGACUACCCCCUGAAUUUAAGCAU